UCCAUCUCCUUCAUCUUCCUGUUUAUUUCCUAAUUCUUUCCCACAGCUAACUUCCACCGGCUCCAUUUUAUGGGCACGGCUGGUCCCGGUGAGUGCCGGUUUAUGGCCCUCAUUUGUUUUAUGACUCUCCGUUUGGACUUCAUUAUCUAUUUUUAAUGGAUUGCAGCUUGCACUUCUUAAAGUGCCCCCAAUCACUUGAUGCCAUUCUGGGAUGGCUCCCGGAGUUUCCUUAUCACAGGAAGCCAUCUGACUAUCUACUACCUCCCACAUUUUAAAAUUCAUUUCGAAUCCUGCUUGUUUUAUUAUUCUAUACGCUUCUUUCCCUGGUACCUCCUGAUCUGGGACCCUCACAACAAUCUGUCCCAUUUUCCUAACUUUCUACUCACUUUAGAGCAGAGUUCUGUCUCUCUUCCCACCUGUAGGCCUGCUACAAGGUAAGGUCCUAGCCAAAAUUGUCCCUGUUCGGGCACUACUUGUUACACCCCUAUGGACUACUCUAACCUGGUAGCUCCCCUUUGAGCUAUUCUUAAUGCCCGUCUAUCGACGGCAUGGCCAGGCCACAUUUACCCGUCUUCAGGCACCAACCUGGAUCCCACAGAGACAGACCACAAGGAGUUGCACCAGCAUUACAUUUGGAGGCCCCAGCGAAAUGAGAUCUGAGAGCAGGAUUAGAGAUUGUAGAACAGCAGGUUUUGAUGGAGAGCCUUGAGCCAGCUGGUUCUGGACUCUUUUAGGGAAGCCAGCAUCUGGUUUCUUCCAGAAUCCCGUGGAGAGACCAGUUCCAGCCGCAGCAAGAACUCAUUGCCAACGCCUGCAGGAUUUUGGUCAGAUUACUGCUAUAUUGAUCUGCUUUCUGGGACCUGGAUCAGCUUUGAUCAGAGAUCAGCACAGCACACCCAUCCCCCUGCUUGGACCGAGAGCCUCCAUCCCUUAUCAGCAUGAAACAGCUUUUGAAUGAGAAGUUUUGCCCUUGCCCCAAUGGACUUAGUGAUGGGGAAUUAGGGAAUGGUUGAUGAAUGACUGUUAAACCCUGACUGAGUCAUCUAUUACUGCAUGUUUAAAAUUAGGGACAGAACUAUAUUACUAUGUGUUUAAGAUUUGAUAUGGAUAAAGGACUGCUUGCCAUCUAGGGGAGGGGGCGGAGGGAGGGA